rnacentral:lncRNA from 1 species
CCGAAAGCUCUAUAAGGCUGGAUACAAAACGGCUUCUCCACAGAUUUCCUCAGGAAGCAGUUGUGAUGCGACGGCUGUCAUAAUCUAGCCUAAGUAACGAAGCAGUGUCGUCCAUUGUGUAGGCCUAUCAACCGUCUCUGUAAACACGAGUCAAAGCCGGGAGAUUGGGAAACUACGCUACUCCUCAAUACCUGCUUGCAAUCUAAGCCGUAAAACUAUAGUGACAAACCGGAUCGAUCCAGAUAGCAUCAAACGCUACCAGCCUUUAGCGGCAGCGUGACUUCGAACUUUAAACUUCCUUCUUUGACUUUGGGGUUAUUUUUUUUUGUUCUGUUCCCGCGAGGCAGAUGAUGUUAGCAGCGGAGAAGUGCUUGACGUACUGGCUGCUGGCCACGAUACUGGUGGUGUGCCUUGCCAGAAACUGUGCCGGGCAAGGAUGCCCACCGGCGCCCAUCUAUUGUGAAGGCAAAGGGCCCGGGGAGAUGCGGUGGGGGAAAAGAGCGCUUACGGAUAUUGGAAGGAACUCGGUUGGAGACCAGAUGGCGAGGCCCCGCAGGACGUACUCCGAGUCACAACUAUCGAGUCCCAAAUAUCGCUUCAGAGAACUGCUCAGGCGAUUUACAAGAACCGAAAACCACUGAGAUAUGGCCAGCAACGCACGCAGUCUUACUUUCUACGGCAACAAAAACGUCUGACUUUCCGACCCUGGAGCUGGCACUCUGACAGAUUCCGUCAAGACACUUUUCCUGUCCAGUGAUUUUUGUUCUUCUGUUCUGCUCUUAUUCAUUCCCCAUAAAAUUUGGUUAUUUUUUGUGGUUUAAAAUGGAAAUGGUAUAGCUGCAGCCACGGAGGAAGCUGUUCUGAAAGUAUCCUCGUCUGAUGAAUUCAAACCACGUUUAAUGGUCCUCCGAGGGUAGAAUACAAUGCACCGUCAUGCAUUAAUGCAGGCCUUAAAGUACGCGCUUAAAAACUGAAAGUGUAUACGGACGACAUUAUUGUAUUGGGUUAUGCUGGUAAAUGUGAUAACUUUAUUACGCGUACAUUGGGUUAAACAGCUGCCGAAAUUUGACAGAGCAGUAGAUUGUUGGCCAAGAAGCGAGUCUGUCUCGCAAUAUGUGCUUCUGAAAGCUUGCCAACGAUUUUAUUCCCAGAACUAGAACCUUUGCAAAGAAAGGGAGAAAUAAAAGGUAGGCCCUAGUAGCGAAAAAAAGUUAUUUGACUUUUGCCUAAAACAGGUAUGCGCAUGCUCGAAUUUAAUUGAAAAAAAAAUGAAUAGCUGAUCUGUUUGCUGCCCCCAAGAGCCUGAGUUUUAUUGACCCGAGGAGAUGUUUCUGCUGAGAAGUUUUGAUCAAAAUGACAUUCCACUAAUUUUAAAAAUAUUGUACCAGCACCGUGAAUUAUACCCGUUUUGCUAUAGAUGAACCUAUAUUAUUGCAAAAAAACUUUUGUUGAACGUUAACUUCGAACAGAUGUGUACAUACGCUUGUAAUAGUAAAAACAAAUAUAGUUUAAGAUGAUUUAUUUUGUGUAUAAUCAAUACAAGAGAAAAGGGAAACGAAACAGAACUCCUUUAGAUGAUUCAAAAGGCCCUCGUUGCACUAUGAUGUAAGGAUUUUCGUAUCUGCCGCUUUGCUAAAACCGUCCCCAUUACAGACGACAAACCAACGUCUAUCAAUGCAAACACUAUAGGAAGAUGUACUUCAUAAGGGGAUACACAAAACUACCAUACGGUGUAUGUCUUGUAAAUAUUAUGUAACAAAGCUAUAUUUGGUUUGGUUUAGAAAAUCACCUUGAAUAAUAAAUCACACGUUGCGUCAGCUAGAGGUGAAUUAUGAACUUGACUUAUUAACAUUGAACUUCAAACUCUGUAGUUAUUUUCUGAUUCUGUUCAUCAAAGUUUCUUGAGGUUUUAAAAAUCCAAUAAAACUGUAUUAAUUCUUGAACUUGAUUUUGAUUGUUAGGUCCCAAAGGCUUGUGUGCUAUAAAUCUGGUUAAAAAAAGUUUAAAAUGUUUCAAGCAUGCGAUGCAAUCAUCUUUAGUAUUAAACAGGCACAUUAGGAAACUGACUGUCAUAAAUAGUGAAUUUCUUUGUUGACGAGCCGCAUUAAUUGAAUAAAUUAUGAACCUCGCCUCCAAAAAAAUUGCGACGGGAUGUACUUUAUAAAUUUUGACGUUCUAGAUAUCAGUCUGGGAUUUACAUGUCACCUUCUAAAAAUCAGGGGAUGUCGGAGAAACACGCUUUGCCACGCAUUGCGUCUUAACAUCGUUGAUAAAAGUUUCUAAAUCAUUCAUUGAUGUACAAGCCAACUUCCAUAUCGUAGAGCAGCCAUGACUGUAGGUAUCCUGAUAUCCUAAUGUUAUACGUGCAUCAAGAUGUGUUUUCCCACACUAACACUCAUAAUAAUCAUUAAAAAAAUCAACCUGACAUUAAACGUUAAGUAGAUCCGCCGACACAAAAAAAAUAUCUUAUGUUAUUUAUGAUUUCUAGAGCUAGGGUUACUUACGGUCACUUUAACAGUUGUGUUGCUAUCAGCUUGGUAAUGCACUAACAUUGUACUGUCUUUCUUUCUUAGAGAUAAAGGACACUGAUUGACGUUGACCGUACAGCUUCUGUGUAGUGUACCAACCCGUGCACACAAUGUAGAAGUUAGUAUGCGAGCAGUGAAAGCGUAGAAUGUUACACUAUUAUAUCAAUGCGCUUGUAAAUAUGAAACCUACAGCAGUCAGAUAAAAGAAAAUUAUCGUAAUUAACAAUCAUUCAUUAUUCUGCACAUUUUGCACCAACUUCGAAGGGCCACCCAUAGAAUUCGUAGUUGACAGAACAGUGUCGUAAUAAAAUCAUGAAAAUUUUGAUGAUAAUAAAAGACAGUACAGCA